UACGAAGGGGGCUAGCGUUGCUCGGAAUGACUGGGCGUAAAGGGCGCGUAGGCGGUUUGUACAGUCAGACGUGAAAUUCCCGGGCUCAACCUGGGGACUGCGUUUGAGACGUACAGGCUUGAGUGUGAAAGAGGGUCGUGGAAUUCCCAGUGUAGAGGUGAAAUUCGUAGAUAUUGGGAAGAACACCGGUGGCGAAGGCGGCGACCUGGUUCAUUACUGACGCUGAGGCGCGAAAGCGUGGGGAGCAAACAGG
rnacentral:rRNA from 2 species